rnacentral:tRNA from 1 species
GCCAGCUUAGCUCAGUUGGUAGAGCUACUGAUUUGUAAUCAGUGGGUCGUCGGUUCGAGUCCGACAGCUGGCUCCA